UACGGAGGGUGCGAGCGUUGUUCGGAAUCACUGGGCGUAAAGGGCGUGUAGGCGGUCCGUUAAGUCUGAUGUGAAAGCCCGGGGCUCACCCCCGGAAGUGCAUUGGAAACUGGCGGACUCGAGUCCCGGAGAGGAGAGUGGAAUUCCUGGUGUAGCGGUGAAAUGCGUAGAGAUUCGGAGGAACACCAGUGACGAAGGCGACACGCUGGGCCGUACCUGACGCUAAAGCGCGACAGCAUGGGGAGCAAACGGG
rnacentral:rRNA from 1 species